ACAGCAGUAGCCGCGGGAAUACAGAGGGUGCGAGCGUUAAUCGGAUUUACUGGGCGUAAAGCGUGCGUAGGCGGCUUUUUAAGUCGGAUGUGAAAUCCCCGAGCUUAACUUGGGAAUUGCAUUCGAUACUGGGAAGCUAGAGUAUGGGAGAGGAUGGUAGAAUUCCAGGUGUAGCGGUGAAAUGCGUAGAGAUCUGGAGGAAUACCGAUGGCGAAGGCAGCCAUCUGGCCUAUUACUGACGCUGAGGUACGAAAGCAUGGGGAGCAAACAGGAUUAGAUACCCCGGUAGUCCCUGUCUCUUAUAC
rnacentral:rRNA from 1 species